rnacentral:rRNA from 1 species
UACAGAGGGUGCGAGCGUUUAAUCGGAAUUACUGGGCGUAAAGCGCAGGUAGGCGGUUUGAUAAGUCUGUUGUGAAAGCUCCCGGCUCAACUGGGAGAGGUCAACGGAAACUGUCAGGCUAGAGUGUGGUAGAGGUAGCUGGAAUUCCCGGUGUAGCGGUGAAAUGCGUAGAUAUCGGGAGGAAUACCUAUGGCGAAAGCAGGCUACUGGACCAUCACUGACGCUGAUCUGCGAAAGCUAGGGGAGCAAACAGG